rnacentral:rRNA from 1 species
AGUGAACGCUGGCGGUAGGCCUAACACAUGCAAGUCGAACGGCAGCACAGUAAGAGUUUGCUCUUACGGGUGGCGAGUGGCGGACGGGUGAGGAAUACAUCGGAAUCUACUUUUUCGUGGGGGAUAACGUAGGGAAACUUACGCUAAUACCGCAUACGACCUACGGGUGAAAGCAGGGGAUCUUCGGACCUUGCGCGAUUGAAUGAGCCGAUGUCGGAUUAGCUAGUUGGCGGGGUAAAGGCCCACCAAGGCGACGAUCCGUAGCUGGUCUGAGAGGAUGAUCAGCCACACUGGAACUGAGACACGGUCCAGACUCGUACGGGAGGCAGCAGUGGGGAAUAUUGGACAAUGGGCGCAAGCCUGAUCCAGCCAUACCGCGUGGGUGAAGAAGGCCUUCGGGUUGGAAAGCCCUUUUGUUGGGAAAGAAAAGCAGCAGGUUAAUACCCCGCUGUUCUGACGGUACCCAAAGAAUAAGCACCGGCUAACUUCG